rnacentral:rRNA from 1 species
UACGUAGGGUGCAAGCGUUGUCCGGAAUUAUUGGGCGUAAAGAGCUCGUAGGCGGUUUGUCGCGUCGAAUGUGAAAACCCGGGGCUCAACCCCGGGCCUGCAUUCGAUACGGGCAGACUAGAGUUCGGUAGGGGAGUCUGGAAUUCCUGGUGUAGCGGUGAAAUGCGCAGAUAUCAGGAGGAACACCGGUGGCGAAGGCGGCUCUCUGGGACGGUACUGACGCUGAGACGCGAAAGCGUGGGGAGCGAACAGG